rnacentral:rRNA from 1 species
UACAGAGGUCUCAAGCGUUGUUCGGAUUCAUUGGGCGUAAAGGGCGCGUAGGUGGCGCUGUAAGUCAGGUGUGAAAUUUCGGAGCUUAACUCCGAAACUGCACUUGAUACUGCGGUGCUUGAGGACUGGAGAGGAGACUGGAAUUUACGGUGUAGCGGUGAAAUGCGUAGAUAUUGGGAGGAACACCAGUGGCGAAGGCGGCUACCUGGACCGGUUCUGACGCUGAGGCGCGAAAGCGUGGGUAGCAAACAGG